rnacentral:snRNA from 1 species
AUACUCACCUGGCAGGAGAGAUACCAUGAUCACGAAGGUGGCUUUCCCAGGACGAGGCUUAUCCAUUGCACUCUGGAUGUGCUGACCCCUGCGAUUUUCCCAAAUGUGGGAAAUUCGACUGCAGAAUUUGUGGUAGUGGGGGACUGCGUUCACGCUUUCUCCUA